rnacentral:lncRNA from 10 species
CCACAAUUUGUAUAUUUUACUUAAAUACUUGAUUACUGUCUUCCCCAUUAUAACCUCCACAAAGGGAGGGGGUUUUUGUUCAUUGUGUUGACUGCUAUAUUUCCAACUCCCAGAGCAGUGCCUGCCAUCUCAUAGGUGCUCAAUAAAUCAUUGUUGGGUGAAUGAGUAAACAAGUAACAGUCCCUAACUUGUAAGGAUCUGAUGUGACUGUCCACAUAAAGCACUGAGCCCAGGGCCUGGUCCACCGUGAGCGCUGACUUAAUGAUGGCCAUUACAGUAAUUCAGGUUCUAUUCUUGAAGGUUCUUAGUCUCCAACCUUCUAUGAGUUAACACAUGUAAAGCGCCUUAGAACAGGGCUGGUUGCCCAGUAAAUUCUCAGUAAAUGAUAGCUAUUAUUAUAAUUAGGCUUCUAUUUUCAAAGUAGCUUCGGCGCCAAGCUUCUGUGAAUUACGAAUUAGUACUUCCCAUCUCUGAGCCCAAGUUUUGGCAAGGCUGUAAAGAGCUGGUCCUUUGCUACCCUUUGACCUCAUCCCUACAGCUCUCGCCUCCUUGGCACACCAGGCAGGCUCCUGCCUCCUCCAGCCUGAAGUGCUCUUCCCCAUUGAUGUACAUGGCUCCCCCCGGCUUCAGAUCUGUCACCUUCUCAGGGAGGACUAUACUCUUUAAAAUUGCAACCUCCUUCCAGAACAGUUCUCCCUUCAGUCCUUUUUUAAAUUUUUUUCUUGCAACAAAUUCCUGCCAUCAUCCAGGCUAGAGUGCAGUGAGCACAGUGGCACAAUUACAGGCCACUCCAGCCUCAACCUCCAAGCCUCAAGUGAUCCUGAAUAGCUGGGACCAUAGGCAUGCACCACCAAGCCCAGCUAAUUUAAUUUUUUGUAGAUGGGGUCUCACUGUGUUGCCCAGGCUGGCCUUCAACUCCUGGGCUCAAGAAAUCUUCCCACCUCGGCCUCCCAAAGUGCUGGAAUUAUAGGUGUGAGCCACUGCACCUGGCCUUCCUUCAGUUUUUUUUUUGUGUGUGUGUGUGUGUGUGUGGUUUUUUUUUGAGACAGGGUCUCACUGUUGCCCAGGCUGGAGUGCAGCGACACUUCUUAGGCUCCAGCAAUCCUCCCACCUAAGCCUCCCUAGUACUAGGACUAUAGCCGUGUACCAUCGUUAGCCCAGCUAAUUUUUUGUAUUUUGUAGAGAUGGGGUUUUGGCAUGCUGCCCAGGCUGGUCUCAAACUCCUGGGCUCAAGCGAUCCACCCACCUCAGUGCUGGGAUUUCAGGAGUGAGCCACCAUGCCGGGCCUCCUUUCAGUGCUUUAUUGUUCUCACAGCAUUUAUCAGCACCCGGCAUAUGCUGUAUCUUACUUGUUUAUGUCUGUCUUCACCAGCAGCCUCUACCCACUCCCAUGUAAGCUCCAUGAGGACAACGAUUUUAUUUUAUUCACUGCUGUGUUCCCAAUGCUUAGCACACAGCAGGUACUCAAAAAUAUUUGUUAAAUGAAUUAAUGGAUCACAAUCCCUGUCUCACAGGGUUAUUCUAAGAAGCUGAUAAUCUCAUGCAAAUUAAGUACAGCACUCUGUAAGUGCUGGGAAAAUGGCAGCUGCAAUUAUCAUUAAGGUUCUAUUUUUGUAAGUUCCUAGGUGCACCUCACCAGGCAUCCUGUCCUCUUCUGCCAGCAGGACCCAGGCUAUGGCCACCCAGUCUGGACCAUGGGGGAGACAACAGGCUUAAGGGAUGGCCUGGGUCCCCAAAUGACUCACCCAGCACCAUUUUGUGAGUGAGAAACAAAAUUCUAUUAUUAGAGCCUUUACAUUAUGGGGUCUGUAAGUAAAUACAUGGAAACCUCAUC